rnacentral:rRNA from 1 species
CAAUAGCGUAUAUUAAAGUUGUUGCGGUAAAAAAGCUCGUAGUUGGAUUUCUGUUGAGAGCGACCGGUCCAUACCAUGUAUGCGUAUCUGGCUUGCUCUCGGCAUCCUCUCGAUAGACGUUACUGCGCUUGAUUGCGUGGUGCGGAUCUCGGGACUUUUACUUUGAGGAAAUUAGAGUGUUCACGGCAGGCUUUCGCCAGAAUACAUUAGCAUGGAAUAAUACUAUAGGAUCUUGGUUCUAUUUUGUUGGUUUCUAGAAUUGAGAUAAUGAUUAAUAGGGACAAUUGGGGGCAUUCGUAUCAAAACGUCAGAGGUGGAAUUCUUGGAUUGUGUUGCGACGAACUACUGCGAAAGCAUUUGCCAAGGAUGUUUUCAUUGA